GUCCACGCCUAACGAUGUCAACUAGGUGUUGGUGGGUAAACCAUUUAGUACCGGAGCUAACGCGUGAAGUUGACCGCCUGGGAGUACGGCCGCAAGGUUAAACUCAAAGGAAUUGACGGGACCCGCACAAGCGGUGGAUGAUGUGGAUUAAUUCGAUGCAACGCGAAACCUUACCUACCCUUGACAUGUCCGGAAGCCCUUAGAGAUUUGGGUGUGCUCGAAAGAGAGCCGGAACACAGGUGCUGCAUGGCUGUCGU
rnacentral:rRNA from 1 species